rnacentral:lncRNA from 1 species
AGCCCUUUCAUCUGUAACCUUUCUACAAGUAAAUGCUAAUUGAAAAAGAAAGAACACCACUAAUCUUGGAAUUUAAAUGCAUUUAACAAAACCAAUCUCACUCUAAAUUGUUGUUUCGCCAUUCCCUUUUCCCUAACAGAUGUCGAGAAACUGCAAUUCCUAUUAAGAACACUUGACUGUUUACUCAGCACGAGAACGUCAGCCCCAGCCUGCAUCAAUCUAAAUGCGUUUCGAGACGUCAGGCCCCCGAAAAGUGCAGACGACAGUGAGACUGAACUUGAAGCUUCCUACAUGUGUACCUUUUUUUUUCAUUUAGGGGAAGCAAACUGAGUGUGGUGGAAAGAACACAAACUUUAGAAUCAGCUGUCAAAGGAAAUAAGGAAGCUGACCCUGAAGAAAUAAUGGGGGCUAAGUGGGAGCGUGUACAUAGAAGCCCUCACUAGAGGAGUUGACUCUCCAGGAGGUGAAAGUGAGAGAAAGACACACAUCACCUGCUGUACUUCCAUUUGGAGCUUGGUUCUUAAGGU